ensembl:misc_RNA 7SK 7SK RNA
GGAUGUGAGGGCUAUUUGGCUGUGAUAUCUGUCACCCCAUUGACCAUCAGGUUUGAUUCAGCUGAUCUUACUGGCUAGGAGGGGGUCCCCUUCCUCCCUUCUCUCUCCAUAUGUGUAUUUUUGAAGCUGCAAGCUACUCACUGAGUCAAAGAAGACAACGAUCUUCCAUAGAAGACUAUUUCCUCAAUCAAGGAUAUACAAGUGGCUACUCUCCCAUGCUAGAAUCUCCAAAAAGCGCUCAAGGUGUCACCUCAAAGACUAAUCCUCCCCAGUGUCUUAAGAUCAUAUUUCCCAUGCUAGUCUCCAAUUGUUUGAGAAACUUUGCUCCAGGCACUGGAUAGAUCUGUCCUUCUGUGUGU